rnacentral:rRNA from 1 species
GAUGAACGCUGGCGGCGUGCCUAAUACAUGCAAGUCGAGCGAACGGACGAGAAGCUUGCUUUUCUGAUGUUAGCGGCGGACGGGUGAGUAACACGUGGAUAACCUACCUAUAAGACUGGGAUAACUUCGGGAAACCGGAGCUAAUACCGGAUAAUAUUUUGAACCGCAUGGUUCAAAAGUGAAAGACGGUCUUGCUGUCACUUAUAGAUGGAUCCGCGCUGCAUUAGCUAGUUGGUAAGGUAACGGCUUACCAAGGCAACGAUGCAUAGCCGACCUGAGAGGGGGGUCGGCCCCACUGGAACUGGGACACGGUCCAGACUCCUACGGGAGGCAGCAGUAGGGAAUCUUCCGCAAUGGGCGAAAGCCUGACGGAGCAACGCCGCGUGAGUGAUGAAGGUCUUCGGAUCGUAAAACUCUGUUAUUAGGGAAGAACAUAUGUGUAAGUAACUGUGCACAUCUUGACGGUACCUAAUCAGAAAGCCACGGCUAACUACGUG